rnacentral:rRNA from 1 species
AUUGAACGCUGGCGGCAGGCCUAACACAUGCAAGUCGAGCGGAUGAAGGGAGCUUGCUCCUGGAUUCAGCGGCGGACGGGUGAGUAAUGCCUAGGAAUCUGCCUGGUCGUGGGGGAUAACGUCCGGAAACGGGCGCUAAUAUCGCAUACGUCCUGAGGGAGAAAGUGGGGGAUCUUCGGACCUCACGCUAUCAGAUGAGCCUAGGUCGGAUUAGCUAGUUGGUGGGGUAAAGGCUUACCAAGGCGACGAUCCGUAACUGGUCUGAGAGGAUGAUCAGUCACACUGGAACUGAGACACGGUCCAGACUCCUACGGGAGGCAGCAGUGGGGAAUAUUGGACAAUGGGCGAAAGCCUGAUCCAGCCAUGCCGCGUGUGUGAAGAAGGUCUUCGGAUUGUAAAGCACUUUAAGUUGGGAGGAAGGGCAGUAAGUUAAUACCUUGCUGUUUUGACGUUACCAACAGAAUAAGCACCGGCUAACUUCGUG